GCAUUAUUUGGCUUCAAAAAGUCUCACUUGUUUCUUUGGGUUUGACACAGUUUUUGAUGACUUUGGGUUGGCGCAGUGAGAUGUACGAGAGGAUUUUGCUGUUUUAUUUAUAUACCUACAUCCAUUCCCAACAGUGAGGAAAUCUACUCAUUGAUGACCAUCCCAGUGGGUAAUAUGGCCAGAAUACGAGACGCAACAAGCCUUGGUG
rnacentral:lncRNA from 1 species